rnacentral:rRNA from 1 species
AUUGAACGCUGGCGGAAGGCCUAACACAUGCAAGUCGAGCGGUAGCACAGAAGAGCUUGCUCUUUGGGUGACGAGCGGCGGCCGGGUGAGUAAUGUCUGGGAAACGGCGUGAUGGAGGGGGAUAACUACUGGAAACGGUAGCUCAUACCGCAUAACCUCGCAAGAGCAAAGAGGGGGACCUUCGAGCCGCUCGCCAUCAGAUGUGCCCAGAUGGGAUUAGCUAGUAGGUGAGGUAAUGGCUCACCUAGGCGACGAUCCCUAGCUGGUCUGAGAGGAUGACCAGCCACACUGAAACUGAGACACGGUCCAGACUCCUACGGGAGGCAGCAGUGGGGAAUAUUGCACAAUGGGCGCAAGCCUGAUGCAGCCAUGCCGCGUGUGUGAAGAAGGCCUUCGGGUUGUAAAGCACUUUCAGCGGGGAGGAAGGCGGUAAGGUUAAUAACCUUAUCGAUUGACGUUACCCGCAGAAGAAGCACCGGCUAGCUCCGUGCCAGCCGCCGCCGUAAGAC